UGGCGAACGGGUGAGCAACACGUGAGUAACCUGCCCUUGACUUUGGGAUAACUUCAGGAAACUGGGGCUAAUACCGGAUAGGAGCUCCUGCUGCAUGGUGGGGGUUGGAAAGUUUCGGCGGUUGGGGAUGGACUCGCGGCUUAUCAGCUUGUUGGUGGGGUAGUGGCUUACCAAGGCUUUGACGGGUAGCCGGCCUGAGAGGGUGACCGGCCACAUUGGGACUGAGAUACGGCCCAG
rnacentral:rRNA from 1 species